rnacentral:rRNA from 1 species
GGGGAAUAUUGCACAAUGGAGGAAACUCUGAUGCAGCGACGCGGCGUGAAGGAUGAAGUAUUUCGGUAUGUAAACUUCUAUCAGCAGGAAAGAAAAUGACGGUACUUGAUUAAGAAGCCCCGGCUAAUUACGUGCCAGCAGCCGCGGUAAUACGUAGGGGGCAAGCGUUAUCCGAAUUUACUGGGUGUAAAGGGAGCGUAGACGGCACGGCAAGCCAGAUGUGAAGGCCCGGGGCUCAACCCCGGAACGGCAUUUGGAACUGCUGAGCUAGAGUGUGGGAGAGGCAAGUGGAAUUCUUAGUGUAGCGGUGAAAUGCGUAGAUAUUAGGAGGAACACCAGUGGCGAAGGCGGCUUGCUGAACGAUAACUAACGUUGAGGUUCGAAAGCGUGGGGAGCAAACAGGAUUAGAUACCCUGAUAGUCCACGCGGUAAACGAUGAAUGCUAGGUGUCGGGUGGC